rnacentral:rRNA from 1 species
CGAACGCUGGCGGCGUGCCUAAUACAUGCAAGUCGAGCGAGUCUUCGGACUAGCGGCGGACGGGUGAGUAACACGUAGGCAACCUGCCUCUCAGACUGGGAUAACAUAGGGAAACUUAUGCUAAUACCGGAUAGGUUUUUGGAUCGCAUGAUCCGAAAAGAAAAGCGGCUUCGGCUGUCACUGGGAGAUGGGCCUGCGGCGCAUUAGCUAGUUGGUGGGGUAACGGCCUACCAAGGCGACGAUGCGUAGCCGACCUGAGAGGGUGACCGGCCACACUGGGACUGAGACACGGCCCAGACUCCUACGGGAGGCAGCAGUAGGGAAUUUUCCACAAUGGACGAAAGUCUGAUGGAGCAACGCCGCGUGAACGAUGAAGGUCUU